rnacentral:rRNA from 1 species
UACGGGGGGGUGCGAGCGUUGUCCGGAAUCACUGGGCGUAAAGGGUGCGUAGGUGGUUUGAUAAGGGUGUGGUGAAAGUCCGGGGGCUCAACCCCCGGAUCUGCCGUGCCGACUGUCAAACUCGAGGACUGUAGAGGCAGACGGAAUUCCGGGUGUAGCGGUGGAAUGCGUAGAGAUCCGGAGGAAGACCGGUGGCGAAGGCGGUCUGCUGGGCAGUUUCUGACACUGAGGCGCGACAGCGUGGGGAGCAAACAGG